rnacentral:rRNA from 1 species
GAUGAACGCUGGCGGCGUGCCUAAUACAUGCAAGUCGAGCGAACAGACGAGGAGCUUGCUCCUCUGACGUUAGCGGCGGACGUGUGAGUAACACGUGGAUAACCUACCUAUAAGACUGGGAUAACUUCGGGAAACCGGAGCUAAUACCGGAUAAUAUAUUGAACCGCAUGGUUCAAUAGUGAAAGACGGUUUUGCUGUCACUUAUAUAUGGAUCCUCGCCUCAUUAGCUAGUUGGUAAGGUAACGGCUUACCAAGGCGACGAUGCGUAGCCGACCUGAGAGGGUGAUCGGACACACUGGAACUGAGACACGGUCCAGACUCCUACGGGAGGCAGCAGUAGGGAAUCUUCCGCAAUGGGCGAAAGCAGGAAGGAGCAACGCCGCGUGAGUGAUGAAGGUCUUCGGAUCGUAAAACUCUGUUAUUAGGGAAGAAAAAAUGUGUAAGUAACUAUGCACGUAUUGACGGUACCUAAUCAGAAAGCCACGGCUAACUACGUG